rnacentral:rRNA from 1 species
AGAGUUUGAUCCUGGCUCAGAUUGAACGCUGGCGGCAGGCCUAACACAUGCAAGUCGGACGGUAGCACAGAGAGCUUGCUCUUGGGUGACGAGUGGCGGACGGGUGAGUAAUGUCUGGGGAUCUGCCCGAUAGAGGGGGAUAACCACUGGAAACGGUGGCUAAUACCGCAUAACGUCGCAAGACCAAAGAGGGGGACCUUCGGGCCUCUCACUAUCGGAUGAACCCAGAUGGGAUUAGCUAGUAGGCGGGGUAAUGGCCCACCUAGGCGACGAUCCCUAGCUGGUCUGAGAGGAUGACCAGCCACACUGGAACUGAGACACGGUCCAGACUCCUACGGGAGGCAGCAGUGGGGAAUAUUGCACAAUGGGCGCAAGCCUGAUGCAGCCAUGCCGCGUGUAUGAAGAAGGCCUUCGGGUUGUAAAGUACUUUCAGCGGGGAGGAAGGCGAUGCGGUUAAUAACCGCAUCGAUUGACGUUACCCGCAGAAGAAGCACCGGCUAACUCCGUGCCAGCAGCCGCGGUCAUAAGGGCGAAUUCCACAGUG